CCAUGGCGUGGAGGUUCCCCAAGGAGGAGGAGGAGAAGACGACGACCCAGCUCCCUUAGGGUGGAAGACCUUCAUGGAGAUGCUGCACAGCAGGCCGGUGGCCAUCGCCUACGAGGUGGCGAGUGCAGGGAUCGCCCUCCUCAGCCUCGGAGUGUGGCUGAAGAAUGCAGUGUGGCGUCCGCGACCUCCUGCCAUGCCAGCAAUGGCCGUCCACACCACCAACCUCCUGAAAUAAAAGGCUCGGUCGAACUUGGCCGAGAUGGUACCUCAAGCAGCUUCUUCUUUAGGCUGUUGGAUGACGGUUCCGCAAGAUGGAGAAUACCCGUCUCCCUCAAGGUGGACGACCUUGAUGAAGAUGCUGCACAGUGGGCCGGUGGCCAUCACUUACCACGUGGAGAGCACAGGGGUCACCAUUACCAGCCUAAGAGUCUUGGGAAGAAUCAACUGAAGUCAUCGCAACGUGGACGAAUUUACCGAAGCCGCCACAUGAGAGGAUCCAUGUGGAAAUUGGCUCGGGGCAAGCGCCACCCCAUGAAAAUCAAGAGGACCCACAGAUCCCUCAAGACUCGGCUGGAUGGCUGCUCCAUGAUGAAUAGCUCACCAACACUUAACAGCGCACCCACCAACAGCACCACUCCUACCAACACCAGCACUCCUACCAACAGCACCACUCCUACCAACA